GACGAACGCUGGCGGCGUGCUUAACACAUGCAAGUCGAACGGAAAGGCCCUACUAGUGUGGGGUUCUCGAGGGGCGAACGGGUGAGGAACACGUGAGUAACCUGCCCUUGACUUUGGGGUAACUUCAGGAAACUGGGGCUAAUACCAUAUAGGAUCUCCUGCUGCAUGGUGGGGGGUGGAAAGUCUCGGCGGGUGGGGAUGGACUCGCGGCUUAUCAGCUAGUUGGUUGGGUAGUGGCUUACCAAGGCUGUGACGGGUAGCCGGCCUGAGAGGGUGAACGGCCACAUGGGGACUGAGAUACGGACCAGAGUCCUACGGGAGGCAGCAGUGGCGAAUAUUGCACAACGAGCGGAAGUCUGAUGCAGAAACGCCGCGUGCGGGAUGACGGCCUGCGGGUUGUGAACCGCUUUAGCCUGUGACGAAGCGUGAGUGACGGUAAUGGGUAAAGAAGCACCGGCUAACUACGUG
rnacentral:rRNA from 1 species